UUGGACUUGGAAGAGAGAGAGAGAGAGAAGAGGGGGAGCUGCUCGUUCGAACCAGCCAGCCGACCGGACGCCGCCUCCUUCGCCGCUGGUCGCUCGCCGCCGGUGCCGUCGUCGUCGCCGCCGUUCGCGCGCGCAGCCGCGCGUCCGCUCACCGUCGCCCUCUCUCCUCCAUCUUCUUCUUCUUGCUGCUCGAGAUCUCAGAUCUGGUCGGACGCCAAGCAUAAGCAGCAGCCAACGUCGCCCGGAGCCGUCGCACGCCUCCGCCUGUCCCCGUUCGCCGCUGCCGUGCGUCGCCGUCGCUGCCCGUCCGCCCGCGCUCGCCCGCGCUUGGCCGACGCCCAGCUGCCUCCGCCCCUGUUCGCGCGUUCCACGAGCUGUCGGGGCUCGUCUCCACCGCCGAAGGGUCGCCGGAGCUGCCACCAAUCACCACCUGAGCUGCCGCCGUCCAUCUCCGCCGGUUUCGCGCCUCACCAGCCACCGGAUCCGCUCCUUCUUGGCCCCAAACAGAAGCUGGAAAAAUGAGUAUGGCAGCGGACGUUUGGCCCGUUUUGGCCGCCUUCCCGAGCCCGGAUGCUCGGCCCGCUUUGAGGAAAGUCGAUCCUCGCGUCGCCCUUGUUAUUUUGGUUCGCUCGGCUCGCUAAUCCGGUGAGUUUAACUCGCUAAACCUUGAUUAGACGGUUAAUGAUGCCCUAAGUGUGCUUAGUCUAAGUUAAGUAAGUUUAGGUGGUUAGAUUAGCUUAUUUGGUUGAGGAUUAUAUUAAGAUGCUUAAUUAAGUUAAAGUGUGUUUAGUUUAAAGUUAAGUAUGUUUAUUUUAAUAUAAAGCCUUGAUGUGACAUAAUAGGGUUUUACUUUUGAAUUAUUUAAUGAUUUCGAAUUCUGGAAUUUAUAGUAUUAUAUUAUAUUCCGAAAUUAUUAAAAUAUUAUUAUUAAAAAAAAAAAACGGAAAAAUUAUUUUUGACUCCGGUUGCUCAGAAUUUCGUGCCGAUCGCUGCUGUGUAGUCGGAUUUUGAAAUUGACGAUUGGAUAUUAUAAAUUGAGCGUGGAUCGUGAAAUAUAUGGAUAUUGUUAUUUAAUUAAUUUUCGGAAUAAAUUUAAUUAUUUAAUAAAUUCUGAAAAUUAUUUUGGAACCUUAUUCUCUCAGAAUUUCGUGCCGAUCGUUGCUGUGUAUUUAGAAUUUGAAUUUGAUGAUUGAUUGUGGCAAAUGGAGUGUGAUUGUGAUAAAUAGGGAUUCUUUAUAAAUCAUAAGUGUAGAAAUUGAUGGGAGAUUGGCCGUGAUGUACCACCUAGGAAAGGUCGUGCCUAGUGAGGCCGUGAUGUACCACCUAUGAGAGGUCGUGCCUAAUAGGGCCGUGAUGAACCACCUAUGAGAGGUCGUGCCCAGUGAGGCCGUGAUGAACCACUUAGGAGAGGUCGUGCCUAGUGAGGCCGUGAUGGACCACCUAAUUAAAGGUCGUGCCGAGUGGGGCCGUGAUUGCCACUGAUUGUUGAACCUUCCUAUAGGGCCGUGAUUGAGAGUAAUGAUUGAUUUGCUAGAAUGACAUGUAAUCGGCCGAGUCGAUUGAUCGCUAAGACGAUCCAAGUGGUUGAAUUGUUUUGAUAAUGUGAUUGUGCCACGGUUGUUUGGUUAUCAUAAUUGUACGUGGUUGAAUUAUAUAAAUUGUGCUAACCUGCAGAUGAAGGCUGAGGCGAGGUAAGUCUUCUGUGUGAUGUGGCUAGGCCACCCGGGGCGUAUUUUCUUUCUAAUAGGGGUUUAGGGGUUUGAACUUGCUGAGACAUUGUCUCAUCCCAGUUGUGGGAUUAAAAUUUCAGGUCCCUAGAUGGCAGUCGUGGAGGACCUGAAGCCCUAAGUCUGGAAAGGUGGAGACUGAAGUAUCGGUGGACGUGUCCUGCUAGUUGGUUUUAGGAUGGUUCCCCUUGUGUCGAGCUGGUCUAUUUUGUAGACAGUCCAGAGUUGUAUUUAAACCAUUUUGUGUUUGUAAAUGAGUGUUUGGUAUUGUGAUUGAUUGCCUGCUUUUCUAUCCCAAGUUAAAUGUUGUCAGGGGAUUUGUUUCGCUUCCGCAUGCGUAAAUAAAUGAAUGGGUCGGCAACAUAUCCUGGGAUGUCGCAUUUUUGAUC
rnacentral:lncRNA from 1 species